rnacentral:rRNA from 1 species
GACGAACGCUGGCGGCGUGCCUAUACAUGCAAGUCGAGCGGAAGUUGGAGAGCUUGCUCUUCAACUUUAGCGGCGGACGGGUGAGUAACACGUGGGCAACCUGCCCUGCAGAUCGGGAUAACUCCGGGAAACCGGUGCUAAUACCGAAUAGUUUUCGCCACCUCCUGGUGGCGUACGGAAAGACGGUUUCGGCUGUCACUGCAGGAUGGGCCCGCGGCGCAUUAGCGAGUUGGUGGGGUAACGGCCCACCAAGGCGACGAUGCGUAGCCGACCUGAGAGGGUGAUCGGCCACACUGGGACUGAGACACGGCCCAGACUCCUACGGGAGGCAGCAGUAGGGAAUCUUCCGCAAUGGACGAAAGUCUGGCGGAGCAACGCCGCGUGAGUGACGAAGGUUUUCGGAUCGUAAAACUCUGUUGUGAGGGAAGAACAAGUACCACUUAACUACUGGUACCUUGACGGUACCUCACCAGAAAGCCACGGCUAACUACGUGCCAGCCGCCGCGGUAAUAC